UGCCAGUAUCAUGUAAACUACGGAUUGCAGUGCUUUUUAGCGGACUCAGAUAAGAACGAGUGAAGCAGUGCAGCUGCACAGCGGCUAAUGCAUGGAACAACAGCCAAAAUGCUGUUGGCAAAGCGGGCCAAAGUUCUGCGGAACCUCACAACAAUAGUUUCUUUUUCAGCGACCUGUUGGAUCAGCGUGAUGUGUCAUGAUCUCGUGAGACUUAGCAGACCCAAAUGCUGAAAACCCGGAAGAAAACUCAAAGAAUCGUCUGGCGCGGCAGGCUGGAGGGUAUUGAGGCAGAAACCAGUGAGCUUGGAUGAAGCUGGAUCCCAGGAACAGACGAGGAGCAUGAACAGCAGACUGCGACCAGAGGAGCACCCGUGGAGGUUUUUUCCGUAGAGGAACAACGAACUGGCGUCGAAUGAUGAUCCGAGGGCUCCUUAAGAAUGCUGCAGGUUGAUGAGGUGAGUGGAACCAGCUGGUCGCGAUCAGGGCAGAGAGGGGAGGGGGAAGGUA